UAUAGAUCAUGACUAGAGAUCAGAUAGAAAUUUUAAAAAAUUCACACAACAAGGGGAAUAUCUAAGCUAUAUCUACAAAAAAAUACAACAUUGAAAGGUUAAUGGUUUACUUACAAGUUUACGGUGUGUGAAGACCCAAAUCAGUAAGCAAACGAGGAAAAAUAAUGGCUUUCAGAAAGUUCGUUCGACGCGCCAUCAUACGGCAUAGGACGAGCAUAGCUUUGAUCAUUCCUCUCAGCCCUAGCCUCGAUCGUAGUCUUUACUUCGUAGUCUGUGGUACUACCAUGGACUACUGGACUACCCUUAAAAAAGCUUGUCGGGUCUCAGAAGUAGCGGACAAAAAGCGGACCGCCGGUGCCAUCUAUCAACCAACAAUCGCAAGUUCUUGCUGAUUGACAACUGAACUCGAAAUUGUAGAAAUAAAACAAGGAAUGCGUAAGGAUUUUGUAUUCCUAUACGGCACCUGUGGCCCACCCUUCUCCCGUUUUUUCUGAUAGAAAAAUAGAAAUAUCUCAUUAACGGUUAAGUAUCAGUAAUAAAAUAAUCGUGCAA